rnacentral:rRNA from 1 species
CAGCCGCCACGGUAAUACGGAGGGAGCUAGCGUUGUUCGGAAUUACUGGGCGUAAAGCGCGCGUAGGCGGUUACUCAAGUCAGAGGUGAAAGCCCGGGGCUCAACCCCGGAACUGCCUUUGAAACUAGGUGACUAGAAUCUUGGAGAGGUCAGUGGAAUUCCGAGUGUAGAGGUGAAAUUCGUAGAUAUUCGGAAGAACACCAGUGGCGAAGGCGACUGACUGACAAGUAUUGACGCUGAGGUGCGAAAGCGUGGGGAGCAAACAGGAUUAGAUACCCCGGUAGUCCCUGUCUCUUAUACA